GGUAGUAGCGCUGCCUGCAAACCAGCACCAAGGCUGCAAACGAAGCCAGAAAGAUGGUGGCCAGCACACCUAUGGCAACUAUCACCACGGUCUCCAUGCUUCCGGGGAGCUCCUGACUCAGUCCCGUUCACAUCGUCCUCAUGGGCUAAGGCUGCUGGAAGUGGCAAACUGGGGGAAGAGGAUGGCAGGAGCUAGGUUCCUCCACGACACCUCCAGAGACCUGAGGGCCUCAAGCUGCAGCUCCGGGGCACAUCCCGCUGCGCUCCCACGACGGCCCCGCGGAUGGCAAAGUCAGCGGCAUCGCCUAUGCAGGCAAUCAAAGGAUGUUGAUGGAUAAGUGUUUCAGGCAGAAUAAUGGCCCUCAAAGAUGUUGACACCAGAAUCUUCAGAACCUUUGCAUAUGUUACCUAACAUGACAAAAGGGACUUUGCUGAUGUGAUUAAGGUUAAGAACUUUGAGAAGGGAAGAUUAUCCUGGAUUAUACAGGUCGACGUUUAUUUCUUUCUGAACUUUCCUGGAGGAUCAUCGGCCAUACUCCAGCAGAAGGGUGGAUUUGAAAAAAUAACGUUUCCACGGCAACAGUGGCAGCAAUUCAAAGGAAGACGUUGGAGAAUUCACAUGCUAUUUUAGCUGGCUCUGUGAUUGCAAUCACACAAAUCAUUACAUUCCAGCGAGAUCCCAUCAACAGAAGGUUUUUCCAUUUCAGUCUGUCAAGAUGAGUAAACAGAAACAUCUGAUAACUUCCACCUAGUGCAUGGAGAGCUAGAAUUUGAAGUAGGGCUGACCAAUACCAAAGCCUGAUGUCUAGUGAAAUUCACACAAUGCUGCAAAUCUGAAGACUCUGCAGCAGAUUUUGUAGGUACUUUCAGCAGAGGAGUUUCAGAAAUGCUUUGCACAAACACAGGUUCACCAAGUGAGUGAUCACACGGGAAGACCACGUGGGAAGAUUUUAGGUUGUUUUAUUAAAGUUCAUUGCUGAGAACACAAAGGCUGAUGCCACAGAGGGGAAAACGCCAGAUCCACCACCGAACAGCUAAAGCCAUAUGCGCCUGCUCCAUGAAUGCCCAUUUUUCAUCUUUAGUGGGCUUCAAAGUUAAAUAGCACAGACAACACAAAGGAAAAUAUGACCGCAGCAAAAGACAGAAACUACACUGUGGCUACAAUUAAAUCUUCAUACCAAUCAUGC
rnacentral:lncRNA from 1 species